rnacentral:rRNA from 1 species
UACGGGGGGGGCAAGCGUUGUUCGGAAUUACUGGGCGUAAAGGGCGCGUAGGCGGCCUUGUCAGUCGGGCGUGAAAGCCCCGGGCUCAACCUGGGAACGGCGCUUGGGACGGCGAGGCUGGAGUUCGGGAGAGGAGAGUGGAAUUCCCAGUGUAGAGGUGAAAUGCGCAGAUAUCGGGAAGAACACCCAUGGCGAAGGCAGCUCUCUGGGACGGUACUGACGCUGAGACGCGAAAGCGUGGGGAGCGAACAGG